CCGAAACAAAACACAGCCCUAAUGACAUGAGUUUCUUGUAAACUGUUUUACCAGGUUGUUUACUGCAGAACAGAGGUCAGACAUUUCUAAAUGGAGUCUUCUGUGGACACCUUUGAGCACUGAAUGACAGAUGGCAUAGAGUGAUGGAUAAAGAAAUGGACCCAGAUAGGAGAUCUGGAUUCUAACCCUUCCUCCCUCGCUAUGUGACCCAAUUUAAGGUACGUUCUCUCCUUAGGCUCAGUUUGUUUGUUUGUUUGUU
rnacentral:lncRNA from 1 species